rnacentral:rRNA from 1 species
UAGUCAUAUGCUUGUCUCAAAGAUUAAGCCAUGCAUGUCUAAGUAUAAACAUCUUUAUACAGUGAAACUGCGUACAGCUCAUUAUAUCAGUUAUUAUUUAUUUGAUGGUACACAACUACAUGGAUACCUGUAGUAAUUCUAGAGCUAAUACAUGCGUAAAGUCCCAACUUCUGGAAGGGAUGUAUUUAUUAGAUAAAAAACCAAUGCGGGCAACCGCUUCUUUGGUGAUUCAUAGUAACUUCAACGGAUCGCACGACUCACGUCGGCGACAGUUCAUU